rnacentral:rRNA from 1 species
GAGUUUGAUCGUGGCUCAGAACGAACGUUGGCGGCGUGCUUAACACAUGCAAGUCGAACGAGAACGGUUUCUUCGGAGACCUAGUAAAGUGGCGCACGGGUGAGUAACACGUAGAUAACCUGUCCAGGUGUUCGGGAUAGCCCUUCGAAAGGGGGGAUUAAUACCGGAUACGUUAGUCUGUUAUAAGGCAGAUUAAGAAAGGUGGCCUCUAUUUAUAAGCUAUCGCAUUUGGAGGGGUCUGCGUACCAUUAGUUUGUUGGUGGGUAAAGGCCUACCAAGACUUCGAUGGUUAGCGGGUCUGAGAGGAUGAUCCGUCACACUGGCACUGAAACACGGGCCAGACUCCUACGGGAGGCAGCAGUGAGGAAUAUUGCGCAAUGGGGGAAACCCUGACGCAGCGACGCCGCGUGGGUGAGGAAGGCUUUCGGGUCGUAAAGCCCUGUCAGAAGGAAGAAAUGUGUAUAGGUUAAUAUCUUAUACAUUUGACGGUACCUUCAAAGGAAGCACCGGCUAACUCCGUGCCAG